rfam:Myotis brandtii contig259975, whole genome shotgun sequence.
GGUGGUUUUGGGUGGCACACCCUGGAAUUGGGCUCCCUCCUCUCUGGCUCUGGUUGCGUCACCCGAGAACCGUA